AGGAGGCAUCGCAUCCGCCUAUCUGUUGAACAUCCUUGGCCUGAUAGAAAUGGUGAUAGCCAUUAUGGCUUCAGCCUUCUGCUGUUGUGGCAUGGCCUGUUGUCACUCGUCUUCACCAACAACCACCACUGUGUACACCCACCAGAACAUUCCGAUGGUUGUGACAACCGACCAGUACACUCAGCCGGCUGGAAUCGUUUAGCCCCCUCCCGCAUACAACGUUCAGCAGGCGUAUCCCCCUGCUGGCCAGCCUGUUGCUCCAGCUCCCUACAACCAAGCUCCUGCUGCCCCGUACAACCAGGCUCCUGGUGCCCCGUACAACCAGGCUCCUGGUGUCCUGACAACCAGGCUCCUGCUGCCCCGUACAACCAAGCUCCUGCUGCUCUGUCAAACUAGGCUCCUUCUUACUCGCACAACUAACAAGCAGCUGCUGCACCCAUCAAAUCUGGCGAAGUGGUGACUUAAAUGCGUUCAGAAAAUGGGUCUUAUUAAUGAAACUACCCGGAUAUGUAAAUGCUUAUAUUGGGAAUAACAAGCCAUAGCUAUAUGUUUGAUAAAUAAAAUGCAAGCCUACUCUGAGACACACGAAUAUUUAGAGAAAAAGUAGUUCAUCCUCACAAACUUUUAAAUAUUCUGAAGAGAGUGGUUUCGAUUGUUAGCCGUGAUA